CAGAUGUAGUUUAUUAAAAUACUUGGUUUAGGCCCGGGAGAUACUAAUGUUAGUUAUCUGA
rnacentral:tRNA from 1 species